AUAUUAGCUGUUCAAAUUUAUAGCUUGCCUCAUGUGGCAUCUGUAUUAGGACCCCAGAAGGACUGUGAUACUACUGCUACAAAUGAUCUUGGUAAAUGCUGCACAAAUUAUCACAGAGUCAACAAUACAUGUCAAGAGUGUUUUCCGGGUUAUUUUGGUGAUGAAUGCACUUCAAAGUGUAUUUAUCCUUAUUUUGGUUACAAGUGUCAGGAAGAAUGUAUUUGCUCUGAAUCAGACUGUAACUUUCAAAAUGGUUGUCCAAAAGCUACAACAGGUACAUGUAUCUUUUUUUUAACUGUUCACCUACCUGUAUGUACACAUUUGAAUUAAAAAAAAUUCUUAUCAAGUCUUCAAUCAGAACGUUUUUGGCAUUGUUGAUUACCGGUUUGUUAAAUAUUAUAUUAUACGAUUGGAUGAAUAAAGCUUCGGAUUAUUUGACUUCAUAAUUUAUUUUUAAUUCAAGAAAGACAAUCAUCUUCAACAAAUUUUGACUUUUCUAAGGAAUAUGUUUCCAAAACUUUCAUAACAGAAACCAUUACAGUUUUGCAUCAAGAUACUGAAAAAGCUAACGAUUCCAUGUCUGUUUCUUUCAUUCUCAUUGUGUGUGUUGGAUCUUUGAUAUCCGUUGUGGUACUUAUUGGAAUCAUCAAAACGAUUGUUGUUUUUCUAUAUGUUACUGAGACCAAAAAUAACACUGAUACUUCCUCUGAUGUUUAUCUUGACAUUGAUGAGAAUUUGCAAGUAGAAACUAGAGCUGAAAGUGAGACACUCCCUAGAGAACAUGUAACCGUACGAGUAACAGAAUAUGUCAGUUCCUUCCAUAAAUGCAUUGAUUUAGUUGAAGAAAAUGGAGAAGAGAAUAUGAAGGAAAGGGUAUGCAAAAAAGAG